rnacentral:rRNA from 1 species
AGCAGCCGCGGUAAUUCCAGCUCCAAUAGCGUAUAUUAAAGUUGUUGCAGUUAAAAAGCUCGUAGUUGAAUUUCAGGAUCAAUUUAUUGGUCGUGCUAUUGUACGUACUGGUAUUAUUGAUUCCUACCUUCUGACGAACCAUGAUGUCAUUAAUUUGGUGUCAUGGGGAAUCAGGACUGUUACUUUGAAAAAAUUAGAGUGUUUAAAGCAGGCUCACGCUUGAAUACAUUAGCAUGGAAUAACGAAAUAGGACGUUUGAUUCUAUUUUGUUGGUUUCUAGGAUCGACGUAAUGAUUAAUAGGGAUAGUUGGGGGCAUUAGUAUUCAAUUGUCAGAGGUGAAAUUCUUGGAUUUAUUGAAGACUAACUACUGCGAAAGCAUUUGCCAAGGAUGUUUUCAUUAAUCAAGAACGAAAGUUAGGGGAUCGAAGACGAUCAGAUACCGUCGUAGU